UUUUGCAUYAUGCUGUUUCGAUAAUAUAAUAUAUUUAUUUUUCACCGAAAAGGUUUGAUUUUUAAUUCAGUUGAUUUAGUAUUUUGGCGGGUAGUGUAAAAAACUGAUGUAACGUUGUGAUAAAUUAGUCGUUUUCCUUUAUAUCUGUUUACUACCUUAAUUUUCUAUUUAGUUAUAGGGCAGUGAGGUCCUAUAAACGUAUAUAUACUUUAUUGAUUUUAAGUUAAACAGGGUUAGAAAUACCCUUUUAUUAAAGUUUUGUUAUAAUUUAUUUUAUAACUAGUUGUAUUAUUUAUAUGUGGUAGUUAUUUUUAAUAUUUUGUUAUAUUUAUGAUACAAUAAGUAAUAAAAUAAAUUAUAUUGUUUCUCAAGCAUAUUCCGUCUGUUUAUUAAAAACAUUUCUAUAUGAAAUAUUUUAUAGUAGGGCCUGCUCGAUGUUUAAUUAUCAAUGGCCGCAGUAUUUUGACUGUGCGAAGGUAGCAUAAUUAAUUGCCCUUUAAUUGGGGGCUUGUUUGAAUGGCUUGACGUGGUUAUUGUGAACAUUAUAUUUGUUUUUGAAAUUAAUUAUGAGGGUACAGAAUCCUCUUUCUUUAAUUAGACGGAAAGACCCCGGGAUCUUUCAUUUUUGCCUGGGGCAGGUUGAAUUUUUUCAAAUUUGAUAUUAUGAUCCUAUUUUAGGUUUAUUGAUUUAAGUUACCCCGGGGAUAACAGUGUAAUAAUUUAUUAGAGACCAUAUCGAUUAAAUUGUUUGCCACCUCGAUGUUGACUUAGGCUUAUAGCAGGGCGCAGUAGUCUUGUUAUGUGGUCUGUUCGACCUUAAUUGCCUCCAUGAGUUGAGUUAAGACCGGCGUGAGCCAGGUCGGUUCUUAUCUAUU
rnacentral:rRNA from 1 species